rnacentral:rRNA from 1 species
AUGAACGCUGGCGGCGUGCCUAAUACAUGCAAGUCGAGCGAACGGACGAGAAGCUUGCUUCUCUGAUGUUAGCGGCGGACGGGUGAGUAACACGUGGAUAACCUACCUAUAAGACUGGGAUAACUUCGGGAAACCGGAGCUAAUACCGGAUAAUAUUUUGAACCGCAUGGUUCAAAAGUGAAAGACGGUCUUGCUGUCACUUAUAGAUGGAUCCGCGCUGCAUUAGCUAGUUGGUAAGGUAACGGCUUACCAAGGCAACGAUGCAUAGCCGACCUGAGAGGGGGAUCGGCCACACUGGAACUGAGACACGGUCCAGACUCCUACGGUAGGCAGCAGUAGGGAAUCUUCCGCAAUGGGCGAAAGCCUGACGGAGCAACGCCGCGUGAGUGAUGAAGGUCUUCGGAUCGUAAAACUCUGUUAUUAGGGAAGAACAUAUGUGUAAGUAACUGUGCACAUCUUGACGGUACCUAAUCAGAAAGCCACGGCUAACUACGUG